CACCUGGAUAACGGUGUAUUUGGAUCAUUUUGGUUGUUUGGAUGGAGUGGUUAAAUACUCCAGGCCUCUGUUCAUACUGUUAUUAAUUUUUGACUCCUUGGUGAAAGCAUUUGCAUGAGAAGCACCUCCCGCUUUUUAUUUUUUAGGAAUCUGAAGUCCUGGGGAACAAUGAGGAGAUCUUUGUUCAUCCCAACCUUUUGGGACAGAAACAAAAGGAGGUGGUGGUGAUGGAGCCAGAGGACAGAGUAGAAGCCGCCUUGGGCAGCACCAUCAGGACUGGGUGUGAUGCCUGGAACUGUAGCAGCCAUUUUGUGAUCAUGAAGGGGUUUAGUGGAGCAGAAAGAAGAAAAGGACUUGGGUACCUGAUCUCACCGUUGUGCUAGUGAAUUAACCAACUCUGGAGCCAUCCUACCUUAGGGUUUCUUAUGAUUGUUUGAGAUAGCAAUUUUUUUUUUCUCAUUUAUACCAAUGCGUCAGGGUUUCCUAUUACUCUGCCAAAAUCAUGAAGACAAGAACAAACUUUUCUGCCUAUUUUAUAGAUGAAGAAAGUGAGACUCAAUGAAGUAAAUGCAUUUGCUUAAGUACACACAGCCUGGAUGUGGUGGACUCGGCAUUUGAACCCUCUGUCUUAGAAGGAGACCCCUGCUGGGAGGUGGCAGGAUUUUUUUUUUCUUCAGUCUUAGCUAUGUGGCCUUUCCACAGCACAAGGACUUUCUGUUUCUCCCACAGGCUGUUGAUGGCUUCUAACAGAUGAUAGCAGGGCAGAUUAAGUGGAGCUGGGACUCAAACCCAGGUCCCUAUAUCUGAGCUGAGGCUCAUCUCUGCAUCUCAAGGUUCUCGGUGAUGUCAGAGAGCCUCCUGCUUUAUCUGAGACCCCCACAGUCUAGGAUAUACUCAAUGGAUCCCACAGAUCUGCCUUUGGCUGCUACAGGGUGGGGCAGCUGAUUGUAGAGACUGGCCACCAGAGGCUGCUGUAGUCACGCCCAGGGGCCUCCUUAGAGGAGGCCGUAGGGAAACUUGGCACCUGGUGCCAUGAUCCAGGAGGAGCCCCUAGCGUGAGCUCCCCAGGAGGUGAGGCUGAAGCUACAGACAGAGGAAACCCCGCCAUUACCACUCCCACCAGGUGGAAAGGAGUCUCUGCCUCCGGGAAGUCUAGGACCUAGUUGCUGUGUGCCCUCAGGCAAGUUGCCUCUCUCCUCUGAACCUCACUUUUCUCAUUUUCAAAAUAAGGACAUCAUCCCAACUUCUCAAACAAGGGCUUCCUUUCUCUUCCUGGUGGUCUUUCCCCUCUUUGGAGCCCAGCUCAACUCUGUGGACAAAGACCAAUUAGGACGUGAGGCCCAACGACUCCAGGGCAGGUCUGGAUCCCAGUUCUGAUUCUGCCGCAAACCCAUGAGGAGUCUUUGUGUUGCAGAUGGGGAAACAGGCCCAGUGGGGAGAGGAGACUUAGUUCUCCCACUUGUAACACAAAUUAAGACUCAAUAUUUCCUGAAGUCCCUUUUGUUCCUUGGGAUGCUAAUAGAAACAAAUAAAAACUUGGCUGAUAGAAAAAGUUAGGGAAAUGCUGGGCUAAAUCUGGAAGGCUAUCUUCCCUGCGGGCUUCCCAUGUGGCGCUAGUUGUAAA
ensembl:lncRNA